rnacentral:rRNA from 1 species
UGGGGAAUAUUGCACAAUGGGCGCAAGCCUGAUGCAGCCAUGCCGCGUGUAUGAAGAAGGCCUUCGGGUUGUAAAGUACUUUCAGCGGGGAGGAAGGGAGUAAAGUUAAUACCUUUGCUCAUUGACGUUACCCGCAGAAGAAGCACCGGCUAACUCCGUGCAGCAGCCGCGGUAAUACGGAGGGUGCAAGCGUUAAUCGGAAUUACUGGGCGUAAAGCGCACGCAGGCGGUUUGUUAAGUCAGAUGUGAAAUCCCCGGGCUCAACCUGGGAACUGCAUUCGAAACUGGCAGGCUAGAGUCUUGUAGAGGGGGGUAGAAUUCCAGGUGUAGCGGUGAAAUGCGUAGAGAUCUGGAGGAAUACCGGUGGCGAAGGCGGCCCCCUGGACAAAGACUGACGCUCAGGUGCGAAAGCGUGGGGAGCAAACAGG